CCCUCGCCGUCCCUCAGUGCCUCAGCGACCCGCUGCAGUCCGUCACCGAGACAUCUCGGUUCCCCACUGUCGCCUUUCAACGCCUUAUCCCACCCCGGUCCCUCAGCGCCUUAUCCGCCUCAGUGCCUUGGUCUAUCACCGCCCUGAUUCGGUCCCUCAGUCCCCCUCAACCCGCCUCGGUCCCUCAUUCUCUUCAUCUCGCCUCAGCCCUCCACUACCUCCCUCAGCCCCUCAGCCCGCCCCACCUCGCCUCGGUUCCUCAGCCCCUCAGCCCCUCACCGACUGCCCCUCACUGCCCUCCCUUCACAGAAUCACAGGAUUGUUAGAGCCGGAAGGGAACCCUGGAGAUCAUCCAGUCCAACUCCCCUGCCAAGGCACAGUCACCCAGAGCAGGUGACACAGGAACAUGUCCAGGAUCUCUUCCCAGGACAGCUGGGCAUGGAGCAGCACAGGAAGCAAACCCAUCACUUCAAGCAUGUCUCUAAGAAAGUACUAAGGGAUGGAAAAUGAGCAAAGGAAUGUAUAAGACACUGGAUGGUGAAUUCCUACCACUCUGGAGAGCAAAUCAUGACUGUGUUGCACAUGGAACAAGUUUAUUCUCAGUCAUCAGAAUCGCAGAGCAGGGGAGAAGCAAGUGGCUGAAUUCCAAGAAAGCCAUGGAGUGGAAGUGAAGGUUCAAACAGCUUGUGUGUAAGGUUAGUGUCUGUGAGCUGUGGGGCAGGCAAAAAGAAGCUUUGCAGAACCAGGCACUGAAGACAUAGUCCAUAAAGGGUCAGGUGGUGCCAUUGUGAUUAUUGUAGAUUCAGAAUUACUGUUGAGAAGGAUGUUGCAUACAAGUGGAGUGGUUUCCUCUUUCAACUGAAGCCAAACCAACAGCAUUUCAUUAACUUCUUUUCCUUCUUCUUUACUCCAGCUGUGUGAUCUAAUACAGCAGUAUUAGAUGCUAGAAGCUUGGCUCAAAAACCAGCUGGAUACAUUGAUGGAACAAAGAAUGAACUAUAUCAUGAACUAUCAUUACAUAUAGAUAUCACCUCAGUUUGUCUGUGAGGUAGGACCCUGGAAAUAAAGGAAUUAUCCAGAAUUUAUUAUUGCUUUGUUCCUGUGCUCUGAUUUAGGAUGCUUCUCUUGGCUCCUGGUUGGGACACUGAGUUAGGUGGUUUACUCUUUGUGGUUGAACCAGAAGCCAGACAGUGCUUUACAGACCAUCUUCCAGUGCAGAGUGUUCAGGGACUGCUGGAGUUCCACAGAUCCCAGCUGCACAGUGCUCCUCUAGCAAAGCUGUUGGAAUCUUGGAACUGAAAGAUAAUCAGCAAAGAUUGGCUGAUGAGCCAAGGCUGCAGCAAAGAAUCAGGUCGGUUUGGUGCUUUCUUUUUUUCCCUGGUCAGCAGUACUUUUUCUGUUUUGCCAUUUUAGUUGGUUGAUCUUUAUGUCAGUAAUUCACACACACAGAUUCUAUAUGUGGUUUUAAAUUUUGAUAAAUCAAAAUGUCUAUUCAUGUCUUUGCUGUGCUAUAGGGGAAAAUACUGCAUCAUUCUCCAUAUUACACAGAGAACAGGUUCUUCUUUACUCUGGGCUGAAUUAAAGAUUUGCAUCCUUACCCACAGGGAAAUUGGUGGUUCAAGAAGAGUGUGGGGAUAGUGGCAGAACUAAUAUCUGUCUGGGAAAAAACAGACUUGGGUAUACUUGGGAAUGGGACAAACGAAAGGACAGCAUAAGGGUCAAAUCAACAGAGUAGUUCUUGUGUCCUCAGUACAGGUGAUAGGAGGAGCAAAGCCUUCCCAAAGAAAGCAAGCAGCUUGGGAACUGCAAUAACCCCCCAAAGCCUAAACAAAUGAGAAAGGAGAGGUGAGCUUUUCUCUCCAUAUAGCAUGUAUUAUUAUACUGAAAUUGCCAUAGCAAUAAAGCUACAGCUAUUUAUUAUAGCAUGAAGAGCUAAUCAAAACCAACCAUGAGAGGUAGCUGAACCCUGAUGAACACAGGGGUUUGGAACUGGAUGAUCUUUAAGGUCCCUUUCAACUCAAACCAUUCUGUAAUUCUAUGAACACUCAACCUCAUAAAGUAGACUUGUUAUUUUCCAGUGAAUAAUAAAGGACUUAGGUAGAACAUUACCAUGGCAAGGUACCAAAACAAGAGCUCUAUCUACUUUUGGAUGAUUUUCUAUAAAGUUUCUGAUGUUGAAGGUGACUCAAAACACUGCACAACCAAUAAGCAUUGUACAAGGGUAAUUGGAAAGUUGAACAUAUGAGAAAUUUCUAGAGAGUUUAAAUGGCAGAGGUGAUUUUAAAAACCAGAGCAGUUUUUUUCCCCCUGUUUUUACACUCAAAGGCUAAUUUAACAUUCUGUUCUGUGGCGGAUUCACAAUUGUAUAAGAUCUUAGAAUAUAAACUUUUAUAAAGUAGCUGGUGGCAUGGGUAUGGCUCAGUUUGAAAUAUCAUCAUCUUGUGAACUUAUGUGCCUGUUC